UCUGUCUCCAGGCUGGAGUGCAGUAGAGCGAUCUCGGCUCACUGCAACCUCCGCCUCCCGGGUUCAAGCGAUUCUCCUGCCUCAGCCUCCCCAGUAGCUGGGACUACAGGUGUGUGCCACCACGCCCAGCUAAUUUUUUUUUUUUUUUUUUUUUUUUUGAGACAGAGUUUCGCUCUUGUUACCCAGGCUGGAGUGCAAUGGCGCAAUCUCGGCUCAGUUAAUUUUUGUGUUUUUAGUAGCAACCGGGUUUCACCAUAUUAGCCAGGAUGGUCUCGAUCUCUUGACUAUCGUGAUCUGCCCACCUCGACCUCACAAAGUGCUGGAUUUAUAGGCCUGAGCCACCGCACCUGACCCUGCUCCGAAGAUUCUGUCCUCCUCCCUCAGCCUCCUCCUAGAAUGGACUUCUCCCAGAUGCAGAGCUGGAGGGGAACCCGGAAGGAGAGGUCUCUUUCUGUUCUGUCUAGAAUAUUGCGUAAAGACAGAGCUUUGCAGAGUUAAGUUCAAACCUCUUCUCCCUUGAUUGCUGUGUCCUACCCACUUGGGGCAACUUUACUGACCUCCCUGAAUUUCCUCAUCCAUCAAAUUAUUAAUUAUUCUCAUCUCAUGGGGUUGUCCUAAUGAAUAAGUUAGAUAACAUUUGUGAAAGACCAAAGACAGGGUCUGGCAACUCUGAGUCUCAAUAAAUAUUCUUCCUUCCCUCUCCCUACUUUUCUUCCCUGUAGAGAAUGAGGGGACCCUGAGAUGCCAGGCACGGGGAAGAGGGCUCUCCUAGGUCCUUAUUCUGCCCCCCUCUUGGUCAGCUCCUCCAGGCCCACAGUUUCUUAAGUUAUUCACCAACAUGUUAACGAUAGAUUCUUAGGGGCUAAUGAUAUGGAAUAAUGACAGGAAUAAGACCUCUUUGUACUUACACCCUGUAUUGCCAUCCUCCUACCCAAAGAGCAGAGCCUAACGGAUGCAGGGAGGGUCCUGUUGUGGGGGUAGGAGUGCCCUCCUCUGCAGCCCCAAAGUUAGGGGAUGAGAGAAGGGAACUGUCAGUGUCUCAUCCACAGCUCUUUACAUACACACACACUCACAUGUGACAACUAACUCCUAACUCCCAGAAUGCCCUUCCAGGAGGGGGAAGUAGAUAGUGGCAUAAAAGAAGAGACAAAGAUAGAUGUCUCCUGAGGCCCACAGGGCAGCAGGGGAGGGAGCUUAAGGUGGCCAUGGCCUUGCCUGGGCAUGCCAUUGCACUCCAGCCUGGGCAGUACAGCCAGACCUAUCCCUACCUGUCCCCUGGAACAGGGAGUGAGCACCUCCCCCAGGGUCUCAGCCUGCCUGCCAGCCAUGCCCUCCCAUGACUCCUCCCUGCCACCCACAGGGGUCUCCUGGGUGCACCAACCUUGCACAGUCCUGCCAUGAUCCAAAGUUCUCUCCCUGAGGAAACAGGGCCCUAGACCAGGCUCUGUCCCUGUGAAUUUUUUUGUUUCAUUUUGUUUUUAGUAAUGGGGGUUCACCCUGUUGGCCAGGCUAGUCUUGAACUGACCUCAGGUGAUCUGCCCCCCUCAGCCUCCCAAAGUGCUGGGAUUAUAGGCGAGAGCCACCAUGCCUGGCCCCUAACUCUGUUUUCUCUCUACCAGUUUCUCUUCUCCCCAAACUGGCCCUGGGAUUCAUGCUCUUUCCAGCUCCAGGUCGAUUCACUGUUGUAUGGGCUUUGAAAGUUUACAGAGCCCUCUCAUGUGUUUUAGAUGCUCAUGAUAGACAGGUGUUAUUGUCAUUGUGUGCAUUGUACUGUUGAGAAAACUGAGACCCAGAGAGGUCAGGUAAUGUAAACGGGGUUACGUGGCUUUGUAAAUGGCAAAACCUGGAUGAGAAUGCAUACUGGCUAACAGGGCCCAGGAUCAUUUGAUGAUACAUACCCACACUGCCCAUACAUGAACAUCUGAGUCCACACAGUUCCUUUAGAAAUGACCCAGCCACCCAUACUUUUCUCUUGAGCUUACUGAGUGGAGAGGGGCCAGGCUUUUGGACAUAGGAGAAGGGAAUAUUGGAUAGCAAGAGUGAGCAGAUAAAGAGGGGGCCAUUGGAGGAAAGUUAGCAAGACAUACUCUACUGCUGGAAGGGUCUUCAUCAACUAAACAUCUGGUUCCCAACAGCACCAUGUCUUUCUGGAGGCCUGAAUUGGUCCUUGGAACCUGGAGUCCUGUCCUCCAGCCUCAUGACCUCUGGGACUAGGGGAAAUGACUCAUUCUGAAUCUUUCCCCAGAGCUGGCAUCUUGCCUGAUAGCCACAUCUGGGAGAGGCUCAGGCCCAGGCUGGAUUAUUUGGGCCAUAGGAAGGAUCAAGAAGCACUCAAAAGCCAGGGAGCAGGGAGCAGAGAGGGCUGGUGCUGCUGCUCCCUCCCUGCUAGGGUAUCCCUCCCCUCCCCAUGGAAUAGGAGCUCUAACUUAACCUUCCUGGGGCACUGGGCUGGAGCAGUGCUGGGCCCUAGAGAUACUUACUCAAUUCUUAUUGACUUGUUAACUCCACAUGGGGCUGAUGGACAGAAUGUCCCCUGAUAGCAGCCCAGAGCUGGCUCCUCCCUCUGCUCACCCCAAAGGGACAGCUGAUCUGCACUGUCAAUAAAUCUAAGUCCAGCUGGAACAGGCUAGACUACAAAAAGGCCCAGGGAAGAAUAUGCUGGAAAUGGUUCUAGCUAGGGCUGAGCCACCCCACCUCCACACCUGUGUGAGAAGGAGGAAGUUCAAGUAGAGAGAAGGGCUCCCUCUGGGUAGCUCCCCAGGACAAGGUGAAAGAAAGAUGAGAAUAAAGUAGGACAAAGGCAAGAAUGAGACCCAGAGAGAUGCAAAAAGUAACCUUGCUUUUGUUUUGUUUUCUAUAUUUACUUAAUCUUUUUUUUUUUUUUUUUUGAGAUGAGUUUUGCUUUUGUUCCCUAGGCUAGAGUGCAAUGCGUAAUCUCGGGUCACUGCAACUUCCACCUCCUAGGUUCAAGCGAUUCUCCUGCUUCAGCCUCCCUAGUAGCUGGGACUACAGCAUUUUAGGAGGCUAUGGCACAAGGAUAGCUUGAGCCCAGGAGUCUGACACCAACCUGGACAACAUGGUUAUAUCUGGAAGGAUUCACAGCGAUAUGUUACCUGUGGAAUGUCCAGGCUGGGGAUGGGCAGUAUGAGAAUACCUGUCAUUUUACAAGCAUGCUUCAAUAUGGUUUGGAUGUCAUACUCAUGUACUAGGCAUAUUUUUAAAAUAAAAUAAACACAUAGCUGUUACAUAUGUUCUUUAAAUAGAAUUUCAAACACAGGGGCUGCCUUCAGAGCAGGGGUUGAUUUAGAGGUUUGAAUCGCAGUUGCUGGCCUCCAGGCAUCCCCAGGAUUCCCCAAGGUGGCACACAGACCCUCCUGGGGUGGGGUGUGUACACCAGAGCUGAGCAAACCCAGAGCUCAGCAUGCAGCCCCUUCUGUCUCUGCAGUUCUGCCCUCUACCUCCAACCUUGGGGAACAUAAAAAAGGGCUGGUUCCCUUACAGGACCCUGGGCACCCAUCCCAUUAUCCCCUGGCAACUGGAGUUGGAAGGUUCAUCUAGGAUACCUCAAUUUGACCCCCAGUCUAGAAAGAGGUGUGUGGUAUAGACCAGCUUCUCAGACUCUAAUGUGAAAACAGAUCACCUGGGAAUCUUGCAAAUGCAGCUUCUAACUGAAUAGGUCUAGGGUAGGAUCUGAGAUUCUGCACUUCUAGAAGCUUCCAAGUAACACCGAUGCUGCUAGUCAACAGAACACACUUUAGAUAGCAAGGGUCUAGAGCAGUGAUUCUCAAAAUGCAGCCUCAGACCAGCAGCGUCAGCAUCACCUGGGAACUUGUUAGAAAGGCAAAUUCUAGGCUCCACCCCAGUCCGGGGUUUGGAGCCCAGCAAUCCAUGUUUUAACAAGCCCUCCAGGUGAUUCUGAUGCACACGUGUGAGAACCACUGGUGUAGGGGAAGGAGCACUCAGCUAGGAGACAGGGAACCCAUGUCAUAGCCCAAGCUUGGUGACACCUUACACAAUCAUUUCCCCUCUCUGACCUCAGUUUUCUCAUCUGUAAAAUGGAAACUGUUGAGUUCUGUCUUGCAGAUUUAGAGCAUAUCUGAAAAAAAAAAAAAAAACCUGGCUACUUUAUGGGAGCUAUGGAACCCCCUGAAUAGGCAAGAAAAGAAAACAUCGUUACUCCUCAAUCUGUUCUACAUCCCUGGAUUCCUCAGGCCGGGUAGCUCCUCCUCACCUACAUAGGGCGUGAAAAUGUGUUGGUUCCCCAGCCCUGUUCCUCACCACCCUGCUUCUCCCUUCAGGUUUCUGCACCCACCCUUCAAUCCACAGGGCCCUUGCUGCUCUCCUCUCCCUGGGAGCUGGGGCCAGGAGACCCACUCCCCAGCUGACCACUCUAUUAGACUUCUCCUGGCCUGCUCGGUCCCCUUUGAUGUACAGCUCUUUGUUCCAGGGCUUUGGGGUUUCCUCGGAUCUCUGUUUUCCUCAAGGGAAACAGAAGGAAAAAUCGACAGAGGUUUCAAGUCGCUGAUGACUUGGGUUUUAUGGGCACCAUUGCGACAGACUUCAAGUGAGCAGCAACCCUGCAGCCGACCCGCCCAGGCUUGCUCCUGGGCCUGGCUCUCUCAGUGGAAAUCCCCUCCCACGCUCAGCCCUUUAAUCACUUUCCAGCCCAAUAACUUUCCUGAUUCACCAGGAAUCCCUUUCGUCUUGAGAGCACCUACUGCCCCUCUCUGAUGGGGCUGAGUCUGGGCUUGAAGGCAUUUGAUCCCAGAAUGGGUCUUACAGAGAUUGGACUUGUGGGCUCACAGUUCAGGUUGGGGCCUGUAGAAUUUUCCCUUUCCCAUGCCAUCUUGGCAUCUGCGUGCCCAUGUUGUAGGAACAAAUGAGCUGCCCUGGAAUGACUCUCUUCCUUGAGGACACUUGGCCAAGGGGCAAGCACACUAGGAGGAGACUGACCGAUGCCCAGGGAACUAGUGGCCUCAACCAGCAUGCCAGUAAUAGCCGUGAAGCCCUUGACCUAUAAACUGCUUUCUCUUUUCUUCUAGUAAUAAUAGUGUGCUUUAAAUGCAAGUAAUGCUUGAAUACAUUUUUGUUGCAAAAGAUUCAAAACAUGACAGUAUUUUUCACCACCCCUCUAGUCCCCCAACCCCAGAGACAACAAUCCCUUAGCCUGGUUUCGGUCUCGACAGACAUUUGUUUUGACUUUUCGUGCCUCUGUACUCAGACUAGUAUAAAGCAGCAUUCUCAUUGGUAAUAUAAGGAAGUUGGUUGAAGGAUUCAUAAGUCCCCUUCCAUCUCUGCCAUUGUCUGCAUUUGUGGGUGGCUUUUCCCUCUCUUCCGAAAGAGGAGACAUUCAUAGGAUCUCCCUAAAAGUAUAGGGUGGAAGGGGAAUGCAUAGAGGAAAAUAGGAAAAGAAAGGUCACAGUGUCAAAAGCAGUUCCUUCAAGGUGAGGAGAUUAUGGAUGAGUUUUUUACCACUUGCUUCUGAUUUUCAAAUGUUCCAUCCUGAGAGUUAUAAAGAUUAUUAUUUGGCCAAGUGCAGUGGCUCACACCUGUCAUCCCAGCACUUUGGGAGGCCAAGGCGGGAGGAUCAUGAGGUCAGCCAUUCAAGACCAGCCUGGCCAACGUAGUGAAACCCCCUCUCUAAAAAAAAUAUAAAAAUUAGCGAGGUGUGGUGGCAUGCACCUGUAGUCCUGGCUACUUGAGAGGCUGAAGCAGGAGAUCACUUGAACCCAGGAAGCAGAUGUUGGCAGUGAGCUGAGAUUGCACCAUUGCAUUCCAGCCUGGGUGAGAGAGUGAGGCUCUGUCUCAAAAAAAAUUAUAUAUAUAUAUAAUUUGUGAGUAUUACUUUGAUAACAGAGAAGUUCUUACACAGUGCCGUUGUCAAGAUCAGGCAGAGAAGGCUGUGAGUUGUUCAGCCUGAGGCUUAGGUCAAGGAGAAAUUAACAGAUUGCUCAAAUCAGAGGGGUGUGUGGAGGGGAUUAGGGAAGGGAGAAAGGCUCAUGGCAUAUUCUUGGAUUCCAUCUACAGGGAGAUUCACAGAAAGGAACUUCAGAGUAAAUCCCCUUGUUUGUGAAUUAAGAAUUAAGCAUUCUGUGAGCCAGGCCUUGGGCUAGACUUUAAGGACACAAUGGCAAAUGUGUGAAUCAGAAUUCUGUACUUCACAGGGACUGGCAACACAAGGGGAGGUGGAGUUCACAUCCUUAGGAAUCCCCGCCUACUCUUGCAAGAAGAUAUUCCCUCCUACUGAAGGUCCCAGAGUUAAGCAUUAGAUCUUUGACAGGCCAUGAUUCUGACUUUACAGAAACAUGGUUUCCGUACCGGACUUGGCCUAUCUAAGGUGAUAUUGGUAUGUGUACUAAUCAGGAUGGGGUAGGUUAUGCUGCGUUAACAAACUCCUCCCAAACCCAGUAGCUUCACACAGCAAAGAUCAUCUCACUCAUGCCAUAUGCCCUACUUGAGCUGGCAGGGGAGAUUCUACUCAUUGUGAUAUACACAUAUCCAGGUGGCUGAGGUUCCAUCACGACACCGACUUCCACACUCUCUGCAACAGGGAAAAGGGACAUGAGGAGUCACACCGUGUCUCUUAAAGAAGUCUUCUCAGAAGUGACACUUCUGGUCUCAAUUAGAGGCCAUACCAAGUCACAUUACCAUAUCAAAAUUCAAGGGAGGAGGCCAAAUGUAACCUCUCAAUGUAAAGGUAGAUAUUACUGUGUGCCCAGGAAUAUCUGUGAACAUCCUUUAAAGGACUAGACCGUGUGGUUGCCAUCCUUUAAAGGACUAGACAGUGUGGGACUGGUGGGUACCCCCAGAAGGCAGAGCCAUCUCUUCGCUCCUCCAGUAGAAAGCAACAAUCCCCCUUGGUGUGGGACCAAGCCCUUGAACUUUCUGGAAGAGUCAGGUUGGGGUCAACAGAGUGGAAAUGUAGAAGGCUCAGGAGCAGGUGCUUCUGAAAAGGCAUCAAGGGCUUGUCCAGGCAUGGGAAAUGCCCACUAAGGCUUUAUUCAUGAUAAUCUGCUUCCUGAAUUUUCAUGGCCUUUAGGGUGAGUCUUUGUAGGCCCAUAAACUCGGACAUCAGAGGUGGGCAGAUCCCCUGAAGCCUGGCUGUUCAAGUGUGGUCUCAGGAUCAGCCACAUCAGCACCACCUCCCCCUGGGAGCUUGUGAGAGAUGUCCAAUCUCAUGCCCCACCCAAAACCACUGAACUAGAAUCUGCAUUUUAACAAGAUCCCCAGGAGAUUCAUAUGCACAUUAAAGCUUGAGAAGCAUUUCCCCAGAACUAAUUUAGGCCAACAUCUUCACUCCACAAAUGAGGAGCUGACACCCAGAGGGGAGGAGGCAGCCCAAAGUCACACAGCUGGUUCCAAUCCUGGCUCCACCACUUGCCAGGGACUUGAGUAAGUCUCUUUAAAAUUCACAAUCUCAGUUUCCUCUUAUAUAAUAAAGUGAUAAUAUAAUUACCUCUCAGUGCUUAUAUGAGGAUCAAAUAAGACAACAUCUAGACCAGUGCCGGGCACAUAGUAUGUGCUCAGUAACUGUUAGGUAUUGCUGUGGUCUUUAUUUAUUUAUUUAUUUAUUUUGAGACGGAGUUUCACUCUUGUUACCCAGGCUGCAGUGCAAUGGUGCGAUCUUGACUCACUGCAACCUCCACCUCCUGGGUUCAGGCAAUUCUCCUGCCUCAGCCUCCUGAGUAGCUGGGAUUACAGGCACGCGCCACCAUGCCCAGCUAAUUUUUUUUUGUAUUUUUAGUAGAGACGGGGUUUCCCAAAUUGACCAGGAUGGUCUCGAUCUCUUGACCUCGGGAUCCACCUGCCUCAGCCUCCCAAAGUGCUGGGAUUACCGGCUUGAACCACCGUGCCCGGCCUGCUGUGGUCUUAACUCACUGUUCCAGCACCAGGCCUCAUACUCCCAGAACAUGACAGUUUCUUCUUAAAGCAAGGGUGUUAGAUCUGGCACUGCAGAGAUGGGACCUGGACCCAGCUGCCUGCAUUUAUAUCCUGCUCAAUUUGACCUUGAGACAGCUGCUGAAUUGUUUUUUUGGUUCUUGGCUUCAGUUUGAUCAGUUGUGAAUGGAUAAAACGACAGCACCCACUUCAUAGGGCCAUUGUGAGAAUUAUAUGAGUUAAUACAUGUAAGGUCUUCAAACGGUCUAUACACUUAGUAAGCACACAAGUUGGAUGAAUAAUGUGAGAAUUAAAUGAGUUAAUAUAUUUAAGGUCUUCAAAGGGUCUAUAGCAUAUAGUAGGCACACAAGUUGGAUGAAUAAUGUUUCCAAAAUGUCCAAAUGAAGACUAGGGUGGAGGUAGUUGCACCCUAGAAAGGCAGGGGACAGGCAUUUCUCAGGAGGAGCUGCCUCCAUUUUGUCCCUUUGGCCUAUUUUAAGUCCCCAGUCUGUUUCUCUGGCCACUGGAUGGGCCCCAACCCCUGGCUGUGUUUUUCCUCCUCCACUGGACUCACUGGGCUCCCUGGUGCCUCCAUCAGGACGCCCUGAAAGGCCAGGGGAUCUCUGGUGGGGAGGGGCACACUCAGGCAGAUGACAGCUGUCUUCAAAUCUCCGAAGCCCUGUCACACAGGAGAGGGAUUAGAUCUGUUCUGGAUGACUCUAGGGGACAGAAAUAGGAAGUUCCAGGACGUCCUCUCUAAUCAUUAGAACUGUUCAGAGGCAGCCCCAGCUGCGUGGCGGGGCGGGGCGGGGUGCGGAGCUCUUGGCAGCUAAGCGGUUGCCCAAUCAGGAGGGUGAGCUGCGGGGUGGAGCCCAGCACCCCCUGGGAGGCUGGGCUGGUCCGCGGGUUCUCAAGCCGGGCAGAGCGCGGGCGAGCGUCAGCAUCACCUGAGGAGCUUGUUGAAUACAGAUGCCCAGGCCCCGCCCAGGCCAACCGGAUCAGAAUUUUUAAAGGCUUCCCCAAUGAUUCUCAGAAUAAGGUCCGCGCUUGGAGGCGGGGCCAGGGCUGGGCGUGGCACGGGGGCGAGGCGGGCGGAGGGCCAGACUGUCCAGUAGCUAAUCCCUGCGUUCCUCACUCUCCUCUACCACCCUCACCGAUCUGGGUCGAGGGAUCGUGCCUCGCUGGGUGCCCCCCCCACAUUUCAUCUUAGCCAAAAGUUCGAGAAGCGACUGGGUGCCCCCCUCGAAUAAUUUCUUGGCCCUCGAUUCAGGGAUCACUCUCACACCUAAUAGAGGCUCUAACGCCCCCAACCCCGGCUCCCUAAGAUCUCUGGCCUCACCCCUCCAGUCGGCCUCCUGGUCUUCCUGUGCCUCCCCAGCUUCUCAGGGGACCCAGACAAUUUGCUAAGGCUCUUGGAGAAGGGCAGCCCGAGGAGACUGGGCCUGUCGCCCAUCGGGAGGAGAGCUGUUUCCCAUCACAUCCGAAAAAGCCCAGGGCUCGGCCGCCCCUGCAGCUGGGCAUAGCUCCCACCAAAUGCAUUCUCCCGAGGUCGCCCUGGACGCCUUGCUUGGAGAUGACAGAAACGAGAAAAGAAAUACCUAAGUGCACAUAAAGACCUUGCUCACCCUUUGGUGACCCUUCGUGUCAAUUCCACAGGGUUUGGUAUUCCACAGGGCCCCGAAGCACGCCAGUAUUCAGAGAAGAAGGGAGCGUCGGGGAUCAGACGCGUGCGCUGUCUUGUGCAGGAGCUGAGUCUUCAGGGUCCACGGGGACAGGAGGGGGUGUGGGGGGCGCGGAAAGGCAGCGCCCGCCUUUUGCCCUGACCCCACAGCGCCACCUGGUGUCUCCUGGGACGGCGCAAGCACUGCGCCUGCGGAUGCUGGGCCCCCUUCCCGUCACCCGACCCCCCUUCGCCCCGUGCCUCCCCUGCCUGGUGUUCCUCCUUCCUCGCCGCGCCCUUCAUUGUCCAGUGGGUGCUUCCUGACUUGGCCGUAGCUGGCUUACAGCCCACUGCCUUUACCCGGGUCUUACUCCCAGGAGGUGCGCCCGGGGCCCCUUCCCCACCGUGGGGCUGCACUGGAAGACAGGGGCCCCGAGGCAGGACAGCUAGCGGAGCAGGGGACAAGAGGAGGAGUGGCCGACAGGCCCUCCGGAGUAGCCAGCAGAGGGCAGCCUCUCUCCAGCUUUCGGCCCCAAAAGUUCCCAUCCUGGUCACUCCUGCAGGCCCCUCCCAGAACAGGAGGGUUCACCUGUGUGCGUGGAACCAGCCAUCCUCCUGGGUGCACAAACCUGUCCAGAGCAGCUUUUGUGGGCCACGCCCUGUGCUGGAGCCAGAGGGGUUACCAAGAUGGAGCCCUUGACCCCGAUUGCAGAACUCCCCGUCAGUGCCCACCCUGGGCUGAAAUUCUCUGAGCUCCUCCAGCUCUUCUCCCUGUCACCUUGCACUUUCUCAUCGCUCUGCACCAUUGUAUGCAUAGGUCCGUUUCUCAGAGUCGAGGAGGGGGCUCUGUCAAGGCCACUGUUGGAACUGGUCAUCUGGGAAGUACCUACAAGAGGCCUUGUUAAAGCAUUUGCCUUUGUUUUGAAAUUUUAGUGUGGGCACAUUUUCAAGAAGGGCUAAAGCAGAGCAGCUUAGCUGGGACACAUUAGACAGGUGAGUCUAAGAUGAAGGAUGCUUCGCCCCCUCACAUGACCCUAUUUCCAAAAAAUGUGGCCUUCCAUAGACUUGCUGUGGAGCCCCUAACAGCACAGCAGGCGGAGCCAGGUCCCUCCACCACUCCCUCCUAAGCAGAAGUGAGCUUUCUAGAUUUGAAGUGAAAGUUCCUCUGGCUGAAUUUCCCCCUCAGGCCGGGGGCUUUCCAAGCCGGGAGAAGUUCUGAGCACAGUCUUGGGGCUUAGCUGAACCCCUCCAAGUCCAAAGUUCAUGUGAUUCUCAGGCCCAGAUUUGGGGGCGGAGACCAGACAGAACAAGGCAGUGGUAUUUGGUUGGUCAGGUCACUUCAGACAGUGUGGUUCAGUUGGAAUUGAUGCUGAGAAGUAACUGGUCCUUAGAAAAAGCAGGAACAAAUCUGCUUUGAUUCAUUUUGACCAGACUCCCUGCUAAUUUUUUUUUUUUUUUUUUUUUUUGAGACAGAUUUUUGCACUUGUCACCCAGGCUGGAGUGCAAUGGCGUGAUCUCAGUUUGCUACAACCUCUGCUUACUGGGUUCAAGGGAUUCUUUUGCCUCAGUCUCCCAGGUAGCUGGGAUUACAGACACCUGCCACCAUGCCCAGCUAAUUUUUUUUUUGAGACAGAGUCUCGCUCUGUCACCCAGGCUGGAGAGCAGUGGUGUAAUCUUGGCUCACUGCAACCUCCGCCUCCCAAGCAAUUCUUCUGCCUCAGCCUCCUGAUUAGCUGGGAUUACAGGCGAGUGCCACCAUGCUCAACUAAUUUUUGUACUUUUAGUAGAGACGGGGUUUCACCGUAUUGGCCAGGCUGGUCUUGAACUCCUGACCUCAUGAUCUGCCCACCUUGGCCUCCCAAAGUGCUGUGAUAACAAAGGCGUGAGCCACCGUGCCUGGCUAAUUUUUUGUAUUUUUAGUCGAAA